CCUACGGGGGGCUGCAGUGGGGAAUAUUGGACAAUGGGGGGAACCCUGAUCCAGCCAUGCCGCGUGUGUGAAGAAGGCCCUCGGGUUGUAAAGCACUUUCAGUGAGGAAGAACGCCUGGUGGUUAAUACCCAUCAGGAAAGACAUCACUCACAGAAGAAGCACCGGCUAACUCCGUGCCAGCAGCCGCGGUAAUACGGAGGGUGCGAGCGUUAAUCGGAAUUACUGGGCGUAAAGCGCGCGUAGGUGGCUUGAUAAGCCGGUUGUGAAAGCCCCGGGCUCAACCUGGGAACGGCAUCCGGAGGUGGGAAGCGAGCGUGCGGGAGGGGGGGGGCGGAGCCCCGGCGGCGAGGUGAAGUGCGCGGAGAGCGGGACGAAGCGCAGUGGGCAAGGGGGAAUUGCGGCAUGCCAGUGACACUGAGGUGCGAAUGCGUGGGGAGCCGACCGGAUUAGAUAGCCUGGUAGGC
rnacentral:rRNA from 1 species